AGAGUUUGAUCCUGGCUCAGAACGAACGUUAGCGGCGCGCCUAACACAUGCAAGUCGCACGAGAAAGGGCUUCGGCCCCGGUAAAGUGGCGCACGGGUGAGUAACACGUGGGUAAUCUGCCCUCGAGCGGGGGAUAACGGUCCGAAAGGACCGCUAAUACCGCAUAAGACCACGACUUCGAAAGAGGAUGCGGUCAAAGCUGGCCUCUAUUCAUAAGCUAGCACUUGAGGAUGAGCCCGCGGCGCAUCAGGUAGUUGGUGAGGUAAUGGCUCACCAAGCCUAAGACGCGUAGCUGGUCUGAGAGGAUGAUCAGCCACACUGGAACUGAGACACGGUCCAGACUCCUACGGGAGGCAGCAGUGGGGAAUCUUGCGCAAUGGGCGAAAGCCUGACGCAGCGACGCCGCGUGAGUGAUGAAGGCCUUCGGGUUGUAAAGCUCUGUGGAGGGGGACGAAUAAGGGUUGGCUAACAUCCAGCUCGAUGACGGUACCCCUUUAGCAAGCACCGGCUAACUCUGUGCCAGCAGCCGCGGUAAUUC
rnacentral:rRNA from 1 species